rnacentral:misc_RNA from 1 species
AAUUCUCAACCUCACCCAUUUUGUCAUGAAGUGGUUGUGUAGGCUUGGAUGUGGAGGUGUUGCAGGUCCGACUUUUGGUUGGUCUGCUCCUCUGAAAUGCAUUAGUGGGUUGUGCCCCUCAUCUAUUGGUGUGAUAAUUAUCUACGCCGUGGAUCAGUGUUGGCAACAAUGAAAGACCCGCUUCUAACCGUCCGACUCGGACAACUUGACAU